rnacentral:rRNA from 1 species
UACGUAGGUGGCAAGCGUUGUCCGGAUUUACUGGGCGUAAAGAGCGCGCAGGCGGUCGUUCAAGUCGCGUGUGAAAGCCCCCGGCUCAACUGGGGAGGGUCACGCGAUACUGAUCGACUCGAAGGCAGGAGAGGGAAGUGGAAUUCCCGGUGUAGUGGUGAAAAUGCGUAGAUAUCGGGGAGGAACACCAGUGGCGAAGGCGACUUCCUGGCCUGUUCUUGACGCUGAGGCGCGAAAGCUAGGGGAGCAAACGGG